AACGGGGGGGGCAGGUGUUACUCUUAUGGACUGGGCGUAAAGGGCAAGUAGGCGGAUGGAAAAGUUCGGGUUUAAAGGCAGGGGCUUAACUCCUGUAAAGUUCUCGCAAUACUAUCCAUCUUGAGUUGUUUUUAAAGAGUAGCCGAACUUCCAGUGUAGGGGUUAAAUCCGGAAAUAUUUGGAAGGACGAUCAAAAGCGAAGGCAGCUACUACGUAACAUACUGACGCUGAGAGGCGAAAGCGUGGGGAGCGAACAGG
rnacentral:rRNA from 1 species